GCCCACUGCCGCCGGGAGGCCGCGCACACUGCCGCUGUUGUGUGGGUUUGUGUUGAAGGUAAAGGGCCGGGAGGCCGCGCACACUGCCGCUGUUGUCCGGGUUUGUGUUGAAGGUAAAGGGCCGGGAGGCCGCGCACACUGCCGCUGUUGUCCGGGUUUGUGUUGAAGGUAAAGGGCCGGGAGGCCGCGCACACUGCCGCUGUUGUCCGGGUUUGUGUUGAAGAACUAGCUUUCUUACGAGAAGAGGCAGAGACCCUAGCAAUGCUCACACAGAAAGGAAAGGCCACCUGGGGACAGAGAAAGAAGGCACCUGUCUACAAGCUGAGAAGAGAGGCCUCAGGAGACACCAGCCCUGCCAGCACCUUGAUUUUGGAUUCCAGCCUUCAGAACGAUCACUGAUUUCAAAGAGUUACAGUGAAAGCAGGUGCUUCACAUGCAUGAGGACGUGCUGCAAAGAUGAUUGGACAGGACAUCAGGGAUUCCAGAAAUUACCUGUGGCCCACCCUCUUCCCGGAUCAACAGGGUCCAAGAGCAGGAAAGUGGAAUUGAAUACCUGGACUAAGACCAAAGAAUGCCGCAGUGCGAGUUGGGGGGGAUAAAUUCCAGGUUUUGAGCUGUUGCUCUAGUCGGUCUGCGCCUGCAGAUGGCAGCGCUCCUUCAUCGUUGCAGCGAUGUGGAUUGAAAUGCACUGGAGCGUCAAUGGAAGGUGAAUUUAUGAAGUGAAAUCAAACUUCAGAAAUCUAUUUUCAGUUGAUUCCACUGGACGCAACUCAAGCAACAGUGUUAAAUGACGAUGGGGAAUACACGUGGGGCAGAGGGACCGGGUGCCUCGUGACAGCGCCCCACUCAGGCCCCAGCUGGAACUGAGCGCAGCCCCCAUCCGGGGAACGGGGACAGUCUCCCCCUGGUGGAGCCGCUGAGGUGUGUCCGCCAGCGACGGCGGAAUCGCUCACUGCGCACCGUCCUGACUCCUCAAUACAAAUACGGGUGUCAGUGACAUGAAAUUUGUCACUGCAGAUAUCCAGAGAGCUGAAAUAAAGGAGUUGCUGGAGUGCUGAAAUGCAGAACCUAGAGCAAUACUGAAGUAUGGACUGGGUCUGAGCUGCUGUACAGCUGUUGAAGGCAGUCUGAGGCACCCUGGAGAGAGACCUGGGCUUUCAGUACCCUUCUCAGGCCCCCAGCCCUCCUAGAGCAUUCCUCAGCGAGAUCUGUCAGCUUGCCAUGCACAGGUUUUGCCUUGUCCCAGAUCCUAGACCAGUGCUAAGUGGCAGCAGCAAGCCCUUACGCACAUUCCUAUUGAGGACAUUCCUUAUUGUAUUUCCUUGCGGACGUCAUAGUGUUACUGGGGGGUCCUUGUUCUUAGAGCUCCCAAGAUGGUGGCUGCUUCCAAGAUGGUGGCAAGCCUCGUGUUCUCUGACCUGGGGUUCUUGGCCUCAUGGAUUCCAAGGAAUGGAACCUUGGGCCAUGCGGGGAGUGUUAUAGCUCUAUUAGAAGCCCUGGGUCACGGAAGAGGACCGUGGAACCUAUGACUAGUGUUCAGCUCAAUUAGGACAAACCCUGGCACUUAGCCAUGCAGGAACAAUGGCAAGCCUUUAUCCUGAUCCAGAGUGGCAACAGGCGCCUUGCUGGAUCAGAAACGCAGUGGACACCCUGCCAGAUCCGGAGGGGAGAAGUCAAGGGAGGGUCUGGGACGACAGACAACAGCGGUGGUGGACGGCAAGCGAAAGCUCAGUUUGAGCCAUCACAAACACAGACCAGAAGAGUGCGCAGUUGCAAGAUUUAACAGGGUGAAAACAGAGCUCCCAUACAAUGGUAGGGGACCCAAAGGGGGCUGCUGUUGCCGGCUCAAAUGCCUGGGUUUAUAUCCCGAUCAUUGUCCCUCCCCCUGUGCUCUCAGGCAAUAGAUGAUUCGCUAUUUCUUUACCUUCUGUUUUUGCCUAAUUAGCAUUUUAGCGAGCUGUCUUUACUACCUGAUUGGUUGGGUGUGAGCUAAGUUGCAAGCUCCCUGUUUAAAGGUGGAUGCAGUCACCUUCCCAGCUAGGCUUAGGGAUUCUUAGUCGGCCUAGGAAAUCCAGCUGGUCCUGUCUCUCAAUAGUGCCCCAGCUCCUACUAUUGGGUGUCUUUGUGGUGGCUUCAAUGGCUUAUUUCAAAACUUACCUGGACCUGGUGGUCCCAGAGAAAGCUUCUAGAAUUCAAUGUGCUUCCGCAAGUGGGAGCCACUUUCUCAUCUUGACUCAGCGGUUCCAUUCUGAUUCUUAACCUCCAAUGCCAACUAUCUUCAGCAUAUUGCAAACUUCAGCAAACGAACAAAGCCAAGACUACUAACCUGUCAGGAAUCUUUCUGCAAAUCCGAAAAAAGCUCUGGGAGGGCAGAGGGCAGUGUCUUGUGCACUUAGAGAAUGCCUUCAUGUAUAUAUCUGUAUUAUGCAGUUUUCUUAAGGGUGUCUUUUUCUCUGGAAAGAUCUAACCCCGUCCCAGGCUACAUGACUCGGAAGGCAGAGAAGUGUUGGAUUUCAGCCCCACUCACCCCUCAGCUAGGUGCCUAUGUGCGUUAGACCACCUAUUUGACUAUACAAAUGGCUUAUGCCCAUUUAAAAAAUUAUUUUUCUAGAAGGCUUUCUAGUCCAGAAAUUGCUCUAACACAAUAACAAUAAAUAACACAAAUAAUUGCUCUAACACAAUAAACAAUAAAUAACAAUAAAUUGCUCUUUAUGCUUACCUGAAUCUUGGCUUAGCACGGAAGGAUCCAGGAUUUAUAGGCAGGCCUUCCAGAUGUCAACAACUCCUGAAGUAUGAAAUUUUGACAUGAUCGAGAUUUAGCAACGUGUUUCUAUUGGCCUGAGGUCAUUUGUACCAUUGUUUUCACACAGGCAUCCCUAUUAUAACCAAACCCAAUGCCUAGACAGUGCCUGGCCUAUAAGAGAGAGACAAUAAAAAAGUUGUGGGCUCAGUUAACAAGCCAUUGCAUCACCCACCAUCAAUGCCCUCCUGCUGACCAAGAACCAGACCAAGAACCAUGUUGACCACGUCUUGCUACCAGGAAAAUCACACUAUUUGUCCAACAAAUCCUAAGAUAUAAUAAUAAAGAUGAAAAGUUACAUUAAAAAGUAUUACUAAAAUUAGGAUAUCAAUCUGCAUGUACUUAAAUACGUGAAAAGAGGUAAUAUAAUGUGUAUGAAAAGAGGUAAUAUAAUGUGUAUGAAAAAAAUGUUCUACUGAAUGAUUUUGGAAGCAGUUGAUAAAUUAUUUUACCAGAAAGAGUAAGAAUGGCAUAAUCAUCUGUAGAUACCACAGUACAUAUAAUUCUUUAUGAGAUGGUUAAUAACAGUGGAGUUGAUCUUGGGAAAACAUGCACGAAUUGUGUGUAGCUUGCCAGCCGUUUUUCCCUCAAACCUUUAUACUUGUGGCUUGUUUAACAUCUUAUAAUCCCUUGUGAUUACGUUGUUAAAUCAAUUUUUUCAUGUUUCUUUUGUGGCCAUCUUUUAUAAUUUUUAUUUUUAUACAGCCAGUGGGUCCCUGUUGUGAGGACGGCAUGGGAGAGAUGACUUCCUUCCAGCCUAAGGGAUUGGGCACCGAAGACAGCACAGACAAGCAUCCUUGGUCAUUGCAUGGAAUAGAACAUUUCAACAGCUCAAACACACUGGCAAUACACGUGCUUGCUAACAACUACAUGGCCAAAGAAAACACUCAAAUAAACCUGCGAGUUUGUUCUUGCUUGGGGAGCAGGAGAAGUUAAUGCCAUGAGGCCAUUCUAAAGUGGACCAGAAAGUUCCUUCCUUAUGUUUGAAAAAAUUCAUUUUAAAAAGAAAGGCUGUGGUGUCCUUGUGGAAUACACUCGUGGGCUUUCAGUGUGAGACGCCUUCUGGGAGCCAUGAUCAAGCCUGGACUUUGAAUAAGGCAGCUGGAGAGUGGAGGAUUCAUGGAAGGUGAGGAUCAAUAUGGAUCUAUGAACUUAAAAAAAAAAGGGAGAGAGAUGUGGAGUUAAAACAACAACAAAAACAUCACUCUUCAGUGGCUGCCACAACUCCUGCUUCUGCUUUCCCAUUCGCUGCCAAGGACAGGCAACCUCAGCGAUGUACCGAGUGAGACGCUGGGCAGGCGUGAAAGGUACAGUGGGAACGCUGGGACCGAUGGUGUGGGGAAGGACAGGAAUGAACCGUGCCUCCAAUGAAGAGAGCACCGUCGCACGCCUGCCCCUUUGCAGUGUGACGUUGCUGUUGUGACAUUGCUGUUCCUAUAACCAGCAGGUGAGGUGUGUUCUUCAGCUCCUUGAAACCAGGCAGACCUUUUGAUAUGCUGAGACCAGUAGCAUGUGGUGGAAGGGCCAUGUGGAGAAGAGUCAGGUGCCUCAAACAACAGACAGCACAGACUGCCAGAGGAGCGAGUGAAGCCAGCCCGGACGCUCUACUUACUGCAAGCCAUCAGGUCACUGCAGCUGCAUGUGUGAACCCAAGUUAGACCAGCAGGACUGCCUGGAUUGCCAGUGCGUAAAAUUAUGCAAAAGAACCAAUGAUUGCUGUUUUAUGCCACGAUUUUGGAGGACCUUGUAACAAGAACAAUAAAUAACUGACACAGGUGUUCAAGGCUGCAGUGAGCUAUAACUGCACCACCGCAGUCCAACCUGGGUGACAGAGCAAGGGAGCCUGUCUCAAAAAAAUAAAAUAAAUUACUGACAUAUGCUUAUUAUUUUUAAAAUAAUUUUCUUUUGACUUAAUUCUUCAGUUCAGCUUGCUUAUAUGGAUAAUAUCAAAAUGAAUCACUUUAAUUUUCUACUAUGGAUUAUAGUUAAGAGCUUGUCAAAAAUAGACCAGAUACCUCUACAACAGCAGCAUUUAUUCAGGUCAUGGUACCUGCAUGGGCAACUGAGAUCCAUCGUCUGGUCCCAGGUUUUGUAUGUCAGGUUACAGGACGGAUUCACAACAUUCAAUCUCACAAAACAUUAACGUUCUAUUUAGAAUGGUCCAUUUCUUAAAAAUUAAAGUAAUGCUGCAACGUAGGCAAGAUUUUUCAUCUCUUCAGCAGAAAACCCUGACCUAUGUUGGUAACCUAAAUGAAAAGUGAAAAUAUUUCGAGAUAUAAAUGAUAAUUUGGAUGCUAUUAUACUAUCACAGGAUCCUGAUGCCCCUUAUCAGUGAUAAACAAUGGAACCUGAUAGUGCAUCCCAGCAGAUAGGACCUCUUCCACACUGCACAGUGUUAGAGAUGCAACGAGAGGCUCCAGGCCAGGUGCAGUGGCUCAAACCUGUAAUCUCAGCAGUUUGGGAGGCUGAGGUGGGUGGAUUGCUUUAGGCCAGGAGCUUGAGAUGGGCGUGGCCAACAUAGUGAAACCCCGUCUCUACUAAAAAUACAAAACUUGGCCCAGUGUAGUGGCACGCGCCUGUAGUCCCAGUGACUCAGGAAGCUGAGGCACAAGAAUCGCUUGAACCCAGGAGGCAGAAUCUAUAGUGAGCCGUGAUCAUGCCACUGCACUCCAGCCUGGGCAACAGAAUGAGACUCCAUUUCAAAAAAAAAAAAAAAAAUAGACUCUAGUGCUGGUAUUCUAAUUUCUAAGACUCCAUAUGGAAAUAUGGAAAUACCUGUUGAGAGACACCAGCAUUAUAUCACGCUGACAUCAUUGCAUUGUGAUCCGUUUUUCCUGGCUCUGCACUCUUGAUGGAGACUUGAGAAAACUCGCUGGCAGCACAUUUCUCAACAUUCAUAUUUUUGCUUAGGUUAGUACUUUACCAAUCUUAUCCCCAAAUUGUGGCAGAUCACUCUGUCCCUACUAUGUCUCCAGGAAAGCAGCAGAAAUCUCUCAGCCAUUUUUAUAUCUUUGGCACAUCUUCAAAGUUGAUAUAAUUAUUUGCAUUCUUUCUGAUUACGUGAAAACCGAGGCCUUAUUUGUUAUAUUAAGAGUUCAAGUUCCUUAAUAGUAAUACUUUGGCUCAUUGUUUUCUUAUGAAAAUAUAGCUAUAACAUCAUUUUAAAAGAGAUGGGACUUAGAAAGAUUCCGCUCUACUGAUUUUACAGCUGUUUGGUGCAAUACAUAAUUACUGGGUAGCUUUACUCCAGUGGGAAAAUGAUGCUCCAGAUACUGCAUUAAGCAUUUUUCCUCACAAUGAAUGCCUAGUUUACUUUUGCACAUUCUCAAAUUUAUAUACUUCUCCCUCUUCUAUUCCCAUCAAUAAGGCCUUUCCAGCAACUCUCCUCCUACUCCCUUUACCAAAACAAACACAAAUAAAUAAAAUAAUCAGUCAAAAGGAGGCAGGCAUGAGGGUACUUUGUCAGUAUUGUUAUCACCUGGAGUAUUAGUAAACUGCCUCAGUGGUGUGCGAGAUUUCUUUCAAACCUUUGUAUUUUUAAGUGGGACAUGUAAUUAUAUCACGAAAAUGAGAACGGAAACAAAAUUAAAGUUUUAUGCUAUCAUUAUUAAUCAUUCUAGUCAUAAUAUUUAAUUUUCUGUCCCCUAUGACAUGUAUAAUAACUAAGGAAAUAUGCCCCAUUUAAAGGAUUGAAGCCAGUAUCCUCCAUCAUUUGAGGGGAAUUUCCAGCCAAAAUGUUUGAUUGGCACUCAUGAGGACAGGUGCGACCCUGCACCUGGGUCACUAGUUAAUUCCUCUGGAUACUUGUUUGGGUCAAAAUGAGCUCAAGUGAGUAACAGGCACAAAGCCUUCGCUUUCUGUCUCGACCCAACAAGGACCUGUACAGAAGAUGAGUUUUCUCAUCAGCCCAUUCCCAAGUAUCCCACAUAUUCAAUGAGCCAGCAGGUCAUCUCCUGUUCAGCAGUUGAAAAUCACCUCCGAUUCAGCUGACACACAGGAAGUCCAUCAAUGUCCAUUAGCCCAGAACAAGCGUGUCGGUCACAGCAGCUGUCAGUCUAGGCCAAAGAGGUCCUGUCAGGGCCAUUGUUAUUUUUGUCCUGAAGUUAGGUAUGAAAGUUAUGGUCAUGGCAGGUUUUAAUUAUUUGUGUCAACAAAGACAAUGGACAGUCACCCAAACUCAAUAACUCUGUAUUUUAAAAGCUGUAAAGAAAAGCACAUGUGAUAAGCUUAUCAAUAUUUCUGAUAUAUUAUUCAGGUACUUUGGUCCUUGUGUGUCUCUGAUUAGGUGUCGGCUUUUAGAUUAGAUGGAUUGGAUUGAUUAUGGCUUUUGAAAAUUGUUAUUUAUAUUUAGAUAUCUCUAUAUUGGACACGUAGUUGUUUGGAGAAAUGAGUCUAAUACCCAUGUUGAAAGCAGAAACGGGAUAUAACGUUUUUGUUCUGUUUCUAUGAUCUUUUUAUGAACAAGAAUGUUACGCCAACUCUAUUUUUUUGGAGAUAAAUGGGUAUAUGAAAAUAACACCUUCAGCACGUAUUGCCUAACACUCAUUUGUAAUUAUCACGUAUAAUGCCUGGUUGAUUACGGUUUUAACGUCUUUGCAUAUUGUAAGCCCCCAAUGAUGCUGUGACCUACUUGGAUGCAGAGCCUCUUUCACUGUGUCAUUAUGCCUCCAAUAAUACAACUAACAUGAAUAGUAAAGAGCAAUAAAUAGAUAGCUCCCAUCCAUUGAGCUCUUAGUUGCUCGUGGCUUAAUGCUAAACACUUCCCAUAUGUAUCUUAACCCUGAAAAUCAUUCCAUGAGGCAGCAAUUAUUUGUGUCUUUACAGACAAUGGAACAGAAGUGUAUGUAAUUACUAACUUGCUUAUGCUUAUAUUUUGCUAAAAGAAAAGGUUCUCUCCCCCUUUUAGGUGCAUUUGCAAGGCAGCUCUUCGGAACAAGGCACAGGCGUUCUAUUUUUUUAUUAUUAGUAGCAGCAGCAACUGCUGCAACAGCAGUAGCCUUAGUAGCAGUUUGCUGUUUAUAAUCUCCUUUCUCAAUUGGAUUGUUUGCAUCUUGAGGUCCUCUUGCUCAUAUUUGUAUUCUUAACAUCCAUGAGCCACCUCUCAGGUACCACUAAUACAAUGUCGAGGAAUAAAUGGGGAGAAUUGUUAUGAUCUUGAGCCUCGCUCCUAGAGGAUCACUUCUCUGUAAGAGGGAUGUGUAAUUCAGGACUCCCCAGAUGGGAAACCAGUAUGUGUGGAAAUAUUAUAAAGAGGUUUCACUGUAGCGUACGUUGUAAUAAUUUACAACAUUUGUUCAAAUGCAUAUCCUACAUGGUACAGCAAUUACACAGGUAAUAAAUCUUGUAUCUGAAAACACAGAACACAUGAUACCCAGCCUUUUCAUGCACACUUGAUUUCUCCUGAUUUAUUAAUAACUUUCUCGUGUUUAAGUGACUGUCCUUAUUACGCAUUGCUUUGUUUCUCACUGUGGCAUGACCUUAGCUCGACAGUUGCUAAAAUUCUCCCAGGAGACUUUUUAAUGCUACAUUUGCUUAGAAGACAUGUUCUGCCUUGUGGCUAAUGAUAUAGUUGCGUGGUAAGAAAGAAGGAUGAAAGCAGAAACACACAGACAGGACAUUGAGAAGCGGAUUAACAACAAAUACAAAGGAGGGAAACGAAAACCAAUUCAUUCUCUUUUUUUGCACAUAGUUUUAAGCAUAUCAUGACAUUUCGAAAGUAGGAAACAUCCCUACAAAGCUGGAUCAAACACGAUACUAACCCCAACACCACAGUUCUUCAAGUGGCAGGUGGUAAACUAUAACACACCAUUAACACUUUGUAAAAUGUUACUUAAAAUACAAAUGAUAAAGGGACCAAAGGCCCUGGCGUUCUCAGUUUAACUGACUUGUUUACCUUUAUAGUUUAGUCACAUGAUAUUGUUUUUACCAAUGAAUGUAAGUUCUCAUCUUCAUUUCACGCUCAAUCUGU
rnacentral:lncRNA from 1 species